GUGGAUAUAGCUCAGCUGGUUAGAGCGCCAGAUUGUGGCUCUGGAGGUCGUCGGUUCGAUUCCGAUUAUCUACCCCA
rnacentral:tRNA from 1 species